AACGAACGCUGGCGGCAUGCUUAACACAUGCAAGUCGAACGAGACCUCCGGGUCUAGUGGCGCAGGGGUGCGUAACGCGUGGGAACCUGCCCGUAAGUUCGGAAUAACUCCCCGAAAGGGGUGUUAAUACCGGAUAAUGUCUUCGCACCAAGGAUUUCUGGCCUUUGGAUGGGCCCGCGUUGGAUUAGCUAGUUGGUAGGGUAAAAGCCUACCAAGGCGAUGAUCCAUAGCUGGUCUGAGAGGAUGAUCAGCGACACUGGGACUGGGACACGGCCCAGACGCCUGCGGGAGGCGGCAAUGGGGAAUAUUGGACAGGAGGCGAAAGCCUGAUCAGCAAUGCCGCGUGAGUGAUGAAGGCCUUAGGGUUGUAAAGCUCUUUUACCCGGGAUGAGAAUGACAGUACCGGGAGAAUAAGCACCGGCUAACUCCGUG
rnacentral:rRNA from 1 species